CCCUUAGAUGUUCUGGGCAGCACGCGCGCUACAAUGGUCUUCGCAAACGGAUGCAUUCUCGAAGGAGAAUGCCAAUCUUGGAAUCUAUGCCUUGGUCGGGACAGUUGCUUGCAAUUGUUCGACUCGAACCAGGAAUUCCUUGUAAUCGUGAUUCAUCACAUCACGAUGAAUACGUCCCUGCCCUUUGUACACACCGCCCGUCGCUCCUACCGAUCGAAGAGUUAGGUGAAUUGUUUUGAUCGAUAAGAUUUGACUAUGGUCAACUCUCGUUGUGAAAUUCUGUGAAUCUGACUGUUUAGAGGAAGGAAAAGUCGUAACA
rnacentral:rRNA from 1 species